rfam:Chlorobium phaeobacteroides DSM 266, complete genome.
GAGGGUCGGCCCCUCGCAAUCGGCUUGCAGGAGCAGGUUGCAAACCACCGUAAGCGGCUUGGGUCAAAAGCCCCGGUCGUGAGCGUUACGGAAAAGGCGCCAUUUAAGGUGUCAGGU